rnacentral:rRNA from 1 species
GAUGAACGCUAGCUACAGGCUUAACACAUGCAAGUCGAGGGGCAUCAGGAAGAAAGCUUGCUUUCUUUGCUGGCGACCGGCGCACGGGUGAGUAACACGUAUCCAACCUGCCCUUUACUCGGGGAUAGCCUUUCGAAAGAAAGAUUAAUACCCGAUAGCAUAAUGAUUCCGCAUGGUUUCAUUAUUAAAGGAUUCCGGUAAAGGAUGGGGAUGCGUUCCAUUAGGUUGUUGGUGAGGUAACGGCUCACCAAGCCUUCGAUGGAUAGGGGUUCUGAGAGGAAGGUCCCCCACAUUGGAACUGAGACACGGUCCAAACUCCUACGGGAGGCAGCAGUGAGGAAUAUUGGUCAAUGGGCGCUAGCCUGAACCAGCCAAGUAGCGUGAAGGAUGAAGGCUCUAUGGGUCGUAAACUUCUUUUAUAUAAGAAUAAAGUGCAGUAUGUAUACUGUUUUGUAUGUAUUAUAUGAAUAAGGAUCGGCUAACUCCGUGCCAGCAGCCGCGGUAAUACGGAGGAUCCGAGCGUUAUCCGGAUUUAUUGGGUUUAAAGGGAGCGUAGGUGGACUGGUAAGUCAGUUGUGAAAGUUUGCGGCUCAACCGUAAAAUUGCAGUUGAUACUGUCAGUCUUGAGUACAGUAGAGGUGGGCGGAAUUCGUGGUGUAGCGGUGAAAUGCUUAGAUAUCACGAAGAACUCCGAUUGCGAAGGCAGCUCACUGGACUGCAACUGACACUGAUGCUCGAAAGUGUGGGUAUCAAACAGGAUUAGAUACCCUGGUAGUCCACACAGUAAACGAUGAAUACUCGCUGUUUGCGAUAUACAGUAAGCGGCCAAGCGAAAGCAUUAAGUAUUCCACCUGGGGAGUACGCCGGCAACGGUGAAACUCAAAGGAAUUGACGGGGGCCCGCACAAGCGGAGGAACAUGUGGUUUAAUUCGAUGAUACGCGAGGAACCUUACCCGGGCUUAAAUUGCAGUGGAAUGAUGUGGAAACAUGUCAGUGAGCAAUCACCGCUGUGAAGGUGCUGCAUGGUUGUCGUCAGCUCGUGCCGUGAGGUGUCGGCUUAAGUGCCAUAACGAGCGCAACCCUUAUCUUCAGUUACUAACAGGUCAUGCUGAGGACUCUGGAGAGACUGCCGUCGUAAGAUGUGAGGAAGGUGGGGAUGACGUCAAAUCAGCACGGCCCUUACGUCCGGGGCUACACACGUGUUACAAUGGGGGGUACAGAAGGCAGCUAGCGGGUGACCGUAUGCUAAUCCCAAAAUCCUCUCUCAGUUCGGAUCGAAGUCUGCAACCCGACUUCGUGAAGCUGGAUUCGCUAGUAAUCGCGCAUCAGCCACGGCGCGGUGAAUACGUUCCCGGGCCU